GGUGGGGGCGGAAACAGCACCCAGUGCCCACUGGACGCGCUGAAGCUGGGAGUGUGCGCGAACGUGCUCGGGCUGCUGAACCUGACUCUGGGGAGCCCGCCGGUGCAGCCGUGCUGCUCGCUGAUCCAGGGGCUGGCGGACCUGGAGGCGGCGCUGUGCCUGUGCACGACGCUGAACCUCAACCUUCUGGGCAUCAACCUGACCUUGCCCAUCGCCCUCAGCCUCGUCCUCGACAACUGCGGCAAGAACGUCCCCUCCGGCUUCCAGUGCCCCAACUGA
rnacentral:rRNA from 1 species